GGGUUAAGUCCCGUAACGAGCGCAACCCUUGUCCUUAGUUACCAGCACGUUAUGGUGGGCACUCUAAGGAGACUGCCGGUGCAAACCGGAGGAAGGUGGGGAUGACGUCAAGUCAUCAUGGCCCUUACGGCCUGGGCUACACACGUGCUACAAUGGUCGGGUACAAAGGGUUGCCAAGCCGCGAGGUGGAGCUAAUCCCAUAAAACCGAUCGUAGUCCGGAUCGCAGUCUGCAACUCGACUGCGUGAAGUCGGAAUCGCUAGUAAUCGUGAAUCAGAAUGUCACGGUGAAUACGUUCCCGGGCCUU
rnacentral:rRNA from 1 species